CUUCCUUGUUCAGCUGUGUUGUGUUUUAUGACGACUGGUUUGUUGACUUUGCGGUGGGACACGGAGACUGUGCAACUCGCAGGACCAUCACUGCGUUUGAUGUGGAGGAAACGUUACCCCAUCACCAGUAUCACCUGCUCAGUUUGUCACGCACAGCCACUGUCCCCUGGAUUACCCUCACAGGACACUCUGCCACAUGCCCUGGACACUGGAUUUCCCUGGCUCCCCAUUGACACAGGCCCCUGCACAUAAGUUUGGUGGUUUGGGUCUGUUGUUGGGCGGCUGUGGCUCAGGAGAUGGAGCGGCUCGUCCACUAACCAGAGGGUCAAUGGUUUGAUCCUGGUGUCCUACAGUCCUUGGGCAGGGACUUGACCCUAAAUUGCCCCUGAUGGCUCUGCCAGCAGUGUACAAAUGAUGUGAUAGAAAAAGGUCUUUUAAAACUGUUGCAUCAGCUGUCUCCUUCCUCCGUGAAGCCAUGUCCCCUGAUCAACCUCAGUUUGCUCUGGCUGUAAGUGAUGCUGAGCAGGCCAUCCAUGACCGUUAAAGAUUGGCAUCUGGGCUGGAUAUAAGAGCAUUUUUCAUUCACUCUCCUCUCUGUGGCGGAAGCACUCUAGGUUGUUCACCUGACCAUUUCUCUUUUUCUUUUGUAUGUGUGCACAUCUGGCUCUUUCAAAAUCUAUUUAAAUGUCAAAUAUGCAGUUCAGUGUGACCAUCAUCGUCAACAUAUUUAACCAAGAAGAAAUUAAAUAUAUUUCAAAAGAUAAUUAAAUAUAAAGGUCAUCAUGCUCCAGAAGAAGCACAAUGUGUAAACCUACUCUUUUGAAAAGAUGACCAUAAUAUAAUGUAAUCCUCAGAAAAAUAGAUACUGAUAGAUAUACUGUAUAUUCAUGCAUUUAAAACUCAGUCCUGUAGAUAUACAGAUAUACAUUCGUGAGUGUCUCAUUAAUAUAAUUCCAGUGGCAAACACACAAAGUAACAAACUCUGUAGAAUAAGAUACAGCAUAAUAUUUUGCGUUGUGCUUGUCUUCUCAAUUAAUGCCAUCGCUAUCAUGAUGAAAUAAAGAUUCAUUGCAUAUA